UUUAUAUGAGAGUUUGAUCCUGGCUCAGGAUGAACGCCGGCGGUGUGCCUAAUACAUGCAAGUCGUACGCACUGGCCCAACUGAUUGAUGGUGCUUGCACCUGAUUGACGAUGGAUCACCAGUGAGUGGCGGACGGGUGAGUAACACGUAGGUAACCCGCCCCGGAGCGGGGGAUAACAUUUGGAAACAGAUGAUAAUACCGCAUAACAACAAAAGCCGCAUGGCUUUUGUUUGAAAGAUGGCUUUGGCUAUCACUCUGGGAUGGACCUGC
rnacentral:rRNA from 1 species